rnacentral:rRNA from 1 species
GUUUGAUCAUGGCUCAGAUUGAACGCUGGCGGGAUGCUUUACACACAUGCAAGUCGAACGGCAGCACGGACUUCGGUCUGGUGGCGAGUGGCGAACAGGUGGUAAUGUAUCGGAACGUGCCCUAGUAGCGGGAGAUAACUGCGCGAAAGCGUAGCUAAUACCGCAUACGCCCUUCGAGGAAAGCGGGGGACCUUCGGGCCUCGCACUAUUAGAACGGCCGAUAUCGGAUUAGCUAGUUGGUGAGAUAACGGCUCGCAAGGCGACGAUCCGUAGCUGGUUUGAGGAGGACGACCAGCCACACUGGGAUUCGAGACACGGCCCAGACUCCUACGGGAGGCAGCAGUGGGGAAUUUUGGACAAUGGGGAAACCCUGAUCCAGCCAUCCCGCGUGUGCGAUGAAGGCCUUCGGGUUGUAACACUUUUGGCAAGAAAAACGGCACGGGAUAAUACCCCGUGCAACUGACAGCCUGCAGAAUAAGCACCGGCUAACUACGUGCCAGCAGCCGCGGUAAUACGUAGGAGUGCAAGCGUUAAUCAGAAUGCCUGGGCGUAAAGCGUGCGCAGGCGGUUCGGAAAGAAAGAUGUGAAAUCCCAGAGCUUAACUUUGGAACUGCAUUUUUAACUACCGAGCUAGAGUGUGUCAGAGGAGGUGGAAUUCCGCGUGUAGCGGUGAAAUGCGUAGAUAUGCGGAGGAACGCGAUGGCGAAGGCAGCCUCCUGGGGAUGCUUACUGACGCUCAUGCACGAAAAGCGUGAGGCAAACAGGAUUAGAUACCCUGGUAGUCCACGCCCUAAACGAUGUCAACUAGCUGUUGGGGCCUUCAGGCCUUGGUAGCGCAGCUAACGCGCGUGAAGUUGACCGCCUGGGAAAUGCAGUCGCAGAUUAAAACUCAAAGGAAUUGACGGGGACCCACACAAUGGUGGAUGAUGUGGAUUAAUUCGAUGCAACGCGAAAACCUUACCUACCCUUGACAUAUCUGGAAUCCCGAAGAUUUGAAGAGUGCUCGCAAGAGAACCGGAACACAGGUGCUGCAUGGCUGUAUGUCCAGCUCGUGUCGUGAGAUGUUGGGUUAAGUCCCGCAACAGGCGCAACCCUUGUCGACUAGUUGCUACGAAAGAGGCACUCUAAUGAGACUGCGGUGAUGGCUCAGCGGAGAAGGUGGGGAUGACGUCAAGUCCUCAUGGCCCAUAUGGUGAGGCUUCACACGAUAUUACAAUGGUCGGGACAGAGGUUAACAACCCACCCAGGGAGCCAAUCCCAGAAACCCGAUCGUAGUCCGGAUCAUGAUCUGCAACUCGACUGCGUGAAGUCGGAAUCGCUAGUAAUCGCGGAUCAGCAUGUCGCGGUGAAGAUACGUUCCCGGGUCUUCUUUUGCCAACAUCACACCAUGAGUGGGUUUUACCAGAAGUAAGUUAGCCUAACCGUAAGGAGGGCGAUUGCUACAUUAGGAUUCAUGGCUGGAGGUGAAAUUCCGUAAUAGAUAG